AUUUUCAGCGAUGGAUGUCUUGGCUCGCGCAACGAUGAAGGACGCAGUGAAAUGCGAAACGCAAUGUGAAUUGCAGAAUUCAGGGAAUCAUCAGAUUUCUGAACGCAAAUGGCACCUU
rnacentral:rRNA from 9 species